AGAGGGGUCACCAAGAGGAAGCCCACCACCAGUAAAGCCACACAGCCUCCGUCAGUCAGCAGGUCGGAGCAGUAGGGGGUUGUCCCAUGAGGGCGGACCUAUAAAGACAACAGAAGGACAUAAUGACACGGCAAAAGGUCCUGGUUAAUCCCCCUCUAAGCUGCUGUCACAUGAGGUCUAACUGUGAGAGCAGGAGAACAGAGAGAAUCCUGAUCUCUUCGGUCAUUAAGGAGGUCCUCAGCCAACAGAAAUGCCAUUGAGUGGCAAAGGAAGCCAAACACCACCAUGACGAUGGCUGGCGUCAGGACAGUGCCAAACACCACUCCAGCGAGGCAGGCAUUGAUCGCAGCAAUCAGCAGAUUCUGAGCUGUUACCAGUACGGAGCAGGCCCAGCAGUCCAGGGACCCCCUUAACUCCAGAGGAGCUUCAC